rnacentral:rRNA from 1 species
CCUACGGGUGGCAGCAGUGGGGAAUAUUGCACAAUGGGGGAAACCCUGAUGCAGCGACGCCGCGUGAGUGAAGAAGUAAUUCGUUAUGUAAAGCUCUAUCAGCAGGGAAGAAAAUGACGGUACCUGACUAAGAAGCCCCGUCUAACUCCGUGCCAGCAGCCGCGGUAAUACGUAGGGGGCAAGCGUUAUCCGGAUUCACUGGGUGUAAAGGGAGCGUAGUCGGCGACGCAAGUCUGGAGUGAAAGCCCGGGGCCCAACCCCGGGACUGCUCUGGAAACUGCGGCGCUGGAGUACGGGAGGGGCAGGCGGAAUUCCUGGUGUAGCGGUGAAAUGCGUAGAUAUCAGGAGGAACACCGGCGGCGAAGGCGGCCUGCUGGACCGUGACUGACGUUGAGGCUCGAGAGCGUGGGGAGCAAACAGGAUUAGAUACCCGGGUAGUC